rnacentral:ncRNA from 1 species
ACCUUCGUCGGUGCCCAUCAGGGCCGAAGAGGGAACGCGCAGGAGCCAUCCAAGCGCGGCUGCCCCCGCAACUGUAAGCAGCGAGUCCACGCGUCAUUGGCCACUGGGAAACCGGGAAGGCCGCGUCGGGCAAAGACCUGCCAGCCAGGAGACCUGCCGACGGGA